rnacentral:rRNA from 1 species
AGGUUGCUGCAGUCGACGAUUCCUACGGGAGGCAGCAGUAAGGAAUAUUGGGCAAUGGGCGGAAGCCUGACCCAGCCAUCCCGCGUGCAGGAUGACGGCCCUAUGGGUUGUAAACUGCUUUUAUUGGAGAAGAAAGAAGUGCAUUUAUGUGCUUUUGACGGUAUCCUAUGAAUAAGCACCGGCUAACUCCGUGCCAGCAGCCGCGGUAAUACUGAGGGUGCAAGCGUUAAUCGGAAUUACUGGGCGUAAAGCGAGUGUAGGCGGCUACGUAUGUCGGAUGUGAAAGCCCCGGGCUUAACCUGGGAAUUGCAUUCGAAACUGCGUAGCUAGAGUCUGAUAGAGGGAAGUGGAAUUCCGGGUGUAGCGGUGAAAUGCGUAGAUAUCCGGAGGAACACCAGUGGCGAAGGCGGCUUCCUGGAUCAAGACUGACGCUGAGGCUCGAAAGCGUGGGGAGCAAACAGGAUUAGAUACCCUGGUAGUCCACGCCCUAAACGAUGUCAACUAGACGUUGGGUUCAUUAAGGAACUUAGUGUCGAAGCUAACGCGUUAAGUUGACCGCCUGGGGAGUACGGCCGCAAGGUUGAAACUCAAAUGAAUUGACGG